UGUCGAAACGGAAAGCCGCAAGGUUUUCCGUCUGCAGGGAAUGACCGCCCUGUACUGAUGAUGGCAGGUCGGA
rnacentral:hammerhead_ribozyme from 1 species